rnacentral:rRNA from 1 species
UACGUAGGGUGCGAGCGUUGUCCGGAAUUAUUGGGCGUAAAGAGCUCGUAGGCGGUUUGUCGCGUCGACUGUGAAAACCUACAGCUUAACUGUGGGCUUGCAGUCGAUACGGGCAGACUUGAGUUCGGUAGGGGAGACUGGAAUUCCUGGUGUAGCGGUGAAAUGCGCAGAUAUCAGGAGGAACACCGGUGGCGAAGGCAGGUCUCUGGGCUGUAACUGACGCUGAGGAGCGAAAGCAUGGGGAGCGAACAGG